rnacentral:rRNA from 1 species
UACGGGGGGAGCAAGCGUUGUUCGGAUUUACUGGGCGUAAAGGGCGCGUAGGCGGUCAGCACAAGUCAGUUGUGAAAUCUCCGGGCUUAACUGGGGGCGUGCGGGCGAUACGGGCAGACUGGAGUACUGCAGGGGAGACUGGAAUUCCUGGUGUAGCGGUGGAAUGCGCAGAUAUCAGGAGGAACACCGGUGGCGAAGGCGGGUCUCUGGGCAGUAACUGACGCUGAGGAGCGAAAGCGUGGGGAGCGAACAGG